rnacentral:misc_RNA from 1 species
GAAAUGCGAUAAGUAGUGUGAAUUGCAGAAUUCAGUGAAUCAUCGAAUCUUUGAACGCACAUUGCGCCCCUUGGUAUUCCAUGGGGCAUGCCUGUUCGGGCGUCAUUUGUACCCUCAAGCUCUGCUUGGUGUUGGGUGUUUGUCCCCGUCUCCGCGCGUGGACUCGCCCCAAAGUGAUUGGCAGCCGGCGUACUGGUCCCGGAGCGCAGCACAUGUCGCGCAAACGAGUGCCUUGGUACGGCGGCGUCCAUAAGCCCCUCUCUCACGCUCUUGACCUCGGAUCAGGUAGGGAUACCCGCUGAACUUAAGC